rnacentral:rRNA from 1 species
UGGGGAAUAUUGCACAAUGGGCGAAAGCCUGAUGCAGCAACGCCGCGUGAGUGAUGAAGGUCUUCGGAUUGUAAAGCUCUGUCUUUUGGGACGAUAAUGACGGUACCAAAGGAGGAAGCCACGGCUAACUACGUGCCAGCAGCCGCGGUAAUACGUAGGUGGCGAGCGUUGUCCGGAUUUACUGGGCGUAAAGGGUGCGUAGGCGGAUGUUUAAGUGAGAUGUGAAAUACCCGGGCUUAACUUGGGUGCUGCAUUUCAAACUGGAUAUCUAGAGUGCAGGAGAGGAGAAUGGAAUUCCUAGUGUAGCGGUGAAAUGCGUAGAGAUUAGGAAGAACACCAGUGGCGAAGGCGAUUCUCUGGACUGUAACUGACGCUGAGGCACGAAAGCGUGGGUAGCAAACAGGAUUAGAUACCCUGGUAGUCCACGCCGUAAAACGAUGAGUACUAGGUGUAGGAGGUAUCGACCCCUUCUGUGCCGCAGUAAAACACAUUAAGUACUCCGCCUGGGAAGUACGAUCGCAAGAUU